GAUGAACGCUAGCUACAGGCUUAACACAUGCAAGUCGAGGGGAAACGAUAGAGAAGGCUUGCUUUUUCUAGGCGUCGACCGGCGCACGGGUGAGUAACGCGUAUCCAACCUGCCCACCACUUGGGAAUAACCUUGCGAAAGUAAGACUAAUACCCAAUGAUAUCUCAAGAAGACAUCUGAAUGAGAUUAAAGAUUUAUCGGUGAUGGAUGGGGAUGCGUCUGAUUAGCUUGUUGGCGGGGUAACGGCCCACCAAGGCGACGAUCAGGAGGGGUUCUGAGAGGAAGGUCCCCCACAUUGGAACUGAGACACGGUCCAAACUCCUACGGGAGGCAGCAGUGAGGAAUAUUGGUCAAUGGGCGAGAGCCUGAACCAGCCAAGUAGCGUGCAGGAUGACGGCCCUAUGGGUUGUAAACUGCUUUUAUAAGGGAAUAAAGUGAGCCUCGUGAGGCUUUUUGCAUGUACCUUAUGAAUAAGGACCGGCUAAUUCCGUGCCAGCAGCCGCCGUAA
rnacentral:rRNA from 1 species